UUUCUUUAUCCACUCAUUGGUUGAUGGGCACUUUGGUUGGCUCCAUAUUUUUGCAAUUGCAAAUGUGCUGCUAUAAACUUAUACCAAAAGCCAGGUACUGUAAUUUCAUUUAAUUACCACAGAAAUCCUAUGGUGGGGGAAAAGACAUUGUUUUACUGUCUCAAAAGGUUAAAACCUGAAACAAGUGGCUCAAUAUAUUGAGCUAGUGUUGCAGUCUUGCAAAUGCACCUUUAUGUAGCAGUUUCUCUUGUGAGGUAUCACCCUGAGUCCUUCAUCUCACCUCCAAGAUGACUGAGGAGCACUGACACACGGGUGAGGUUGGAGCAAAACUUUUAUAAGCGAAAGGAGAAAGCUCUCUGCAGAAGAGUCUGAGUGGAUUGCCGGGUCACAGCUGAAUGCAAAAAGCUUUUAUAAAAAACUGCUCUCCUCCCUGUAAUUGUUUGAGGAGUAACUUUUCUUAUCAGUAACGCUGUCUGUGCAACUCCCUUUAUCCAGCUGUGGGAUGUUUCUAAGUAAGCACAAAGUGCUGCUUCUCUUGUUCAUGUAACUGUGGGUUUGUUUUAGGUAAGCCUCCUUCCUCCCUGUGCAAGUUCCCACGGAGCCCACUGUGUAUAUGCCUGAAAAGGGGAGGAAACGUUUUCCUGGAGCUAAUUAUACAAAGAACAAAAAUGCUUCUAUGCCUCACUGGCUCCUUAUCAGCCCCUGAGCUUAUCUGUGCAGCUGCAGCAGCUGUGAUUUUUCAGGCAGGCAUUUCCCCCGGGGCCCAGCCUUAACUAUUUACCUAACUGGUUUUUCCCUACCUUCUCCCUCACUAGUGAGUGGCAGGACUAGGUUUUGCAUAUUAGGAAAGGCUGAUUGAGAAGCUCACACUCUUUCCCACAAGUCCAGUAAGCCUCAUUGGCUCAGGUGGAGAUGAUGUUUACUCCUGGAGGUCCGUGUUGGGAGCAUCUGCAGAGAUCACAGAGAUUUAGGAACGUUGCAAGUAGAGUCAUCUCCAAGAUACCCAGGAGGUAUCAGCCAUACACUGUUGCAGACACCGCUGACAAGGAACGAGCUUCUUUCUGCUUUGGUCCUAGAUACGUGGAAGAGUUUUCAGCUUCCUAGUUUGCAUUAAAUUUCCAGAAUACAUCAUGCACCUCUUCUUUAGUUUCACCCAUGGAAGCACCAGAUGAAGAACCUUCCCAGAGAACAAUGUGUGUGACAUGUCCAUCCAUUCUGCCUUCUCCUAAGAGUUUGGACAGCUAAUCCGUUCACCGUCUAAAGGAGGGAAGGUAGAGGGUUAGAUUCUGCUGCUGGAUCUUUUUUAUUAAACAAUUGUCAUAUAACUGUGGUUCUCAUGGAUAAAACCACUCUCUCAAAAUUAGGAAAAAUCAAAAUCUGUCUUUCAUGAAUUUACUUUCUCUUUCCACAUAUAAUACUCUCAGUUGUCAGAACCACCAGGCCUCUAGAUAUGAAGAUUUUCAGUGAGAUUAAAUAAUGUAAUGGAAGGGGUUAGGGAAUCUGUCGGCCCCCCAACCCCACCCCACCCAACCUUGUCACUUUUGACGCUAUGUGUUCACAGCUGCCUUGAGGGCCUACACUACGGAUACCGCAUGUCCUUAAGGUUACUUUUAUGCUUUUAUCUUUUUGACCUUUUGAUACAAGACAGGAAUUUAUCUUUAAUAUUUUUAAAGAAUAUUAAAAAUCAUUCUUUUAGUACUUCUCACCUUUCUUUCCUUCUUCUCUUCUCUUUUUAAACAGCUUUGUUGAGAUAUAAUUCAAAUGCCAUACAAUUCACCCAUUUAAAAUAUAUAAUUGGGAGGUUAAAGUAUACAAUUGAGAGGUUUUUAGUAUAUCUGCAGAUAUGUGCAACAAUCACCACAUAUCUGCAACCACCACCACUCAAUUUUAGAACAUUUUUAUCACCUCAAAAAGAAACUUUGUACCCUUUAAAUACAACCCCCCAUCCCUCACUCCAACUUCCAGCCCUAUGCAACCAAGUUAACUUUAAUCCAUCCCUAUAGAUUGCCUAUUUUCAACAUUAUGUGAAUAGAAUCAUAUGAUAUGUGGCCUUUUGUGACUUUCUCCUUUCACAUCAUAUAGUGCUUUUUACAGUUGAUUCAUGUUGUAGCAUGCAUCAGUAUUAGAUUUCAUUAGCCAAAUAAUCCCAUUAUAUAAAUAUAUGAUAUUUUGUUUAUCCAUUUAUCAGUUAAUAAACAUUUGGGCUGUUUCCAUCUUUCAGCAAUUAUGAACAAUGUUACUUUCAACAUUUGGGUACAUGUUUGUGUGUCAAUGUAUGUUUUCAUUUAUCUCAGGCAUAUACCUAGGAGUAAAAUUGAUAUAUUAUAUAACACCAUGUUUGAUAAAUUGACUUUUUAAUAGCUAGACUGUUUUCCAAAGUGGUUGCACCAUUUUACAUUCUGACCAGCAGCGUAAGAAGGUUCUGAUUUCUCCACAUCCUCACCAAAACUUUUUGUAAUCUGACUUGUUCAUUCCAGCUGUCCUAAUGAUUGUGAAGGAGUGUCUCGUUGUGAUUUUGAUUUGCUGUUCCUGAAUGAUGACUAAUUAAAAUGGGCAUCUGUUUAUGUGCUUAUUUACCAUUUCUUAUUUCUUUUUGGAGAAACAGCUUUCUAUUCAGAUGCUUUGACCAUUUUUAGCUGGGUUACUUGCUUUUUCAUUACUGAUUUGUAAGAGCUCAUUAUAUAUUUUGGAUACAAGUCCAUUAUUAGAUAUCUGAUUUGAAAAAAAAUUCUCCAAUUCUGUAGGUUUUAUUUUUCAGUUUCUUGACAAUAUGCUUUGAAGGACUAAGUUUUUAAUAUUGAUGAAGUUCAAUUUAUCUAUUUUUGAUGCUCAUGUUUUUGGUGUCAUAUCUAAGAAUCAUUUACCAAAUUCAAUGUCAUGUGUAUUUAGCCCUGUUUUCUACUAAUAGCUCUAGAGUUUUAGCUCCCACAUUUAGUUCUUGAUUGAUUUUAGUUUUUGUAUAGUAUGCAAAGUAAGGGUCCAUCUUCAUUCUUUUUAUUUUGCAUGUGACUAUCCCGUUGUCCCAUUACUAUGUUGAAAAGGCUAGUCUUUUCCAAAUAAUAGUCUUGCUGCCCUUGUUGAAAAUCAAUUGACCGUUCAUAUACGGAUUUAUUUUUGGACUCUCAAUUCUAUUCCACGUAUCUAUAUGUCUAUCUUUACACCAGUUAAAGAUAGACAUUUAAUUUAAUUAUUUAAAUUAAAAUAGUACAUCAGAAUUUUUUCUUUCCUUUUCUUUUCUUUUUUUUUUUUUGAGGCUGAGUUUUGCUCUUGUUGCCCAGGCUGGAGUGCAAUGGUGCAAUCUCGGCUCACCACAACCUCUGCCCACUGGGUUCAAGCAAUUUUCUUGCCUCAGCCUCCCAAGUAGUUGGGAUUACAGGCAUGUGCCACCACAUCUGGCUAAUUUUGUAUUUUUAGUAGAGAUGGGGUUUCUCCACGUUGGUCAGGCUGGUCUCAAACUCCCAACCUCAGGUGAUUUGCCCACCUCGGCCUCCGAAAGUGCCAGAAAAUAUUUUCUUAAUGCAAAUACUUUCUUCGUGCAUACUUUCUUGAUUGUCAUUGCUUAGUAGAAAGUUUUGAAAUCAGAAAGCCUGAGUCCUCCCACAUCAUUCUUUUUUAGGAUUGUUUUAGCUAUUCCAGGUCCCUUGUCAAGUCCAUUUGAAUUUAAAAUCACCUUUUAAAUUUUUGCAAAGAAGUUAACUGGGAUUCUGAUAGUGAUUAUGUCAAAAGUUGUAGAAUGUUUGGAAAAGUAUUGCCAUCUUAACAAGGUUAAUUCUUCUAACCCAUGUAUUUUAUUUAAAUUUUUAUUGACUUUUAAAUAAUGUUUUUGUAUUAUUUGAUUAUAAGUUUUGAACAUCUUUUGUUAAAUUUAAUCUUAAAUAUUUUAUUCAUUUUGAUACUAUUGUGAAUUAAAUUGUUUUUCUAAUUUCAUUUUCAGAUUGUGUCUUUCAGAUGUAUAGAAAUACAAUAGAUAAAUAAUUCUGGCCAUUAACCUUUUAUGCUUCAACCUUGCUGAACACUUUUUUUUUCUUUUCUUUUUUUUUUUUUUUUUUUGAGACAGGGUUUCACUCUUAUUGCCCAGGCUGGAGUGCAACGGCACAAUCUCAGCUCACCACAACCUCCGCCUGCUGGGUUCAAGCAAUUCUUCUGCCUCAGCCUGACAAGUAGCUGAGAUUACAGGCAUGCGCCACCACACCUAAUUUUGUAUUUUUAGUAGAGACAAGUUUUCUCCAUGUUGGUCAGGCUGGUGUCGAACUCCUGACCUCAGGUAAUCCGCCUGCCUGGGCCUUUCAAAGUGCUGGGAUUAUAAGCCACAUUUUUAAUUCUUAGUUUUUCAGUAGAUUCUUGAAAUUCUUAAUAUAGAAGAUUAUGUAUUUUUGGUUUCUCUAUUCCUCCUUUACUGGUUUAUUU
rnacentral:lncRNA from 1 species